rnacentral:tRNA from 1 species
UAGCUCAGUGGUUAAGAGCACUGCCUAUUCUUACAGAGGACCUGGGUUCAAUUCCCAG